rnacentral:rRNA from 1 species
UACGUAGGGGCCUAGCGUUGUCCGGAUUUAUUGGGCGUAAAGAGCUCGUAGGCGGUUGGGUAAGUCGGGUGUGAAAACUCCAGGCUCAACUUGGAGAUGCCACCCGAUACUGCUCUGACUUGAGUUCGGUAGGGGAGUGGGGAAUUCCUGGUGUAGCGGUGAAAUGCGCAGAUAUCAGGAGGAACACCGGUGGCGAAGGCGCCACUCUGGGCCGAAACUGACGCUGAGGAGCGAAAGCGUGGGUAGCAAACAGG